rnacentral:lncRNA from 10 species
ACUAGAAAGAUGGCGGAGCAAGAGCAAAGAAAAAUCCCUUUGGUUCCAGAAAAUCUCCUGAAAAAGAGGAAGGCUUAUCAAGCCCUCAAAGCCACCCAGGCAAAGCAGGCACUUUUGGCAAAGAAGGAGGUAAUGGUGGGGAACCAAGAGAAAGUAAUUAGAAUUUUUAUUUGGUGAGUUUUAUCCCGCAUGUGUUGGACUACAUUUGGUAUUGACGAGCUCCCCCCAACGGUUUGACAGACCAGGUAUAGUUGUCUCUCAGUGUCCUUAAGGGGUUGGUUCCAGGACUCCCACAGAUGCCUAAAUCUCAGACUGCUGAAGUCCCUUAUAUAAAAUGGUUGUAGUAGGCCGGGCGCGGUGGCUCACGCCUGUAAUCCCUGCACUUUGGGAGGCCGAGGCGGGCGUAUCACGAGGUCAGGAGAUCGAGACCAUCCUGGCUAACACGGUGAAACCCCGUCUCUACUAAAAAUAUAAAAAAUUAGCCGGGCAUGGUGGCAGGCUCCUGUAGUCCCAGCUACUCGGGAGGCCGAGGCAGGAGAAUGGCGUGAACUCGGGAGGUGGAGGUUGCAGUGAGCCAAGUUCGUGCCACUGUACUCCAGCCUGGGCGACAGAGCGAGACACUCUCUCAAAAAAUAAAUAAAUAAAUAAAUAACUGGUUGUAGUAUUUGCAUAUAAUCUAUACUCCUUCCGCCUAUGUAGUUUAAAUCCUCUCUGGAUUGCUUAAUAGCUUUAUUUAUUUAUUUAUUUAUUUUGAGGCAAGAGUCUCACUCUUGCCUAGAGUGGAGUGCAGUGGCACAAUCUCGACUCACUGCAACCUCUGCCUACUGGGCUCAAGCAAUUCUCGUGCCUCAGCCAACCAAGUAGCUAGGAUUACAAGCAUGCGCCACCACACCUGGCUAAUUUUUUUUUUAACUUAAUUUAAUUUUGUUUUGUUUUUUGAGACAGAGACUCACUCUGUCACCCAGGCUGGAGUGCAGUGAUGCGAUCUUGGCUUACCACAACCUCCGCCGCCUCCCGGGUUCAAGCGAUUCUCCUGCCUCAGCCUCCCAAGUAGCUGGGAUUACAAGGAUGUGCCACCAUGCCCUGCUAAUUUUUGUAUUUUUAGUAGAGACCGGGUUUCACCAUGUUGGCCAGGCUGGUGUCCAACUCAUGGACUCAAGUGAUCUGCCCACCUCGGCCUCCCAAAGUGCUGCGAUUACUGAUGUCAGCCACCCCACCCGGCCACCGGCUGAUUUUUGUAUUUUUAGUAGAGAUGUUUUGACAUGUUGGCCAUGCUGGUCUCAAACUCCCGGCCUCAAGUGAUCACCCACCGGCCUUCCAAAGUGCUGGGAUUACAGGCCUGAGCCACCCUGCCUGGCCUGGAUUACUGAUAGCUAAUACAGUGUACAUAAUGUAUUUUAAAAAUUUGUAUUACUUUUUACGGUUAUUUUUCAUUUUUUCCCCUGAAUUUUUUUUUUUUUUUUUUUUUAAGAGUGAGGUCAGCUGGGCUCACAUCUGUAAUCCCAACACUUUGGGAGGCUGAGGCGGGCAGAUUACUUGAGGUCAGGAGUUCAAGACCAGCCUGGCCAACAUGGUGAAACCCCAUCUCUACUAAAAAUACAAAAAAUUAGACGGGCACUGUGGCAUGCGCCUGUAAUCCUAGCUAAUCAGGGGGCUGAGGCAGGAGAAUUGCUUGAACCCGAGAGGCGGAGGUUGCAGUGAGCUGAGAUUGUGCCACUGCACUCCAGCCUGAGUGACAGAGCAAAACCCUGUCUCAAAAAAAAAAAAAAAAAAAUAAGUGGGGUCUUUGGCCAGGUGUGGUAGCUCAUGCCUGUUAUCCCAGCACUUUGGGAGGCUGAGGCAGGUGGAUCUCCUGAAGUCAGGAGUUUGAGACCAAGCUGGCCAACAAGGUGACCCUGUCUCUACUAAAAAUACAAAAAUUAGCCGGGUGUGGUGGCGCAUGCCUGUAAUCCCAGCUACUUGGGAGGCUGAGGCAGGAAAAUGGCUUGAACUCAGGUGGCAGAGGUUGCAGUGAGCCGAGAUCAUAUCACUGCACUCCAGCCUGGGCGACAGAGCGAGACCCCAUCUCAGAAAAAAAAAAGAACAAGGAGUGAGGUCUUGUGUUACCCAGGCUAGAGUGCAGUGGCAGGAUCAUAGCUCAUUGCAGCCUUGAAUUCCUGGGUUCAAGAGAA